rnacentral:misc_RNA from 1 species
CUACUAUUUGCAUUUCAAAACGCCUUGCCUUGCCUUGCCUUGCCUUGCCCUCCUGGAAUAUACAUUUGACAGAGAGCGGCCCGGCUGGAGUCUGAGUCUUCGCAGCUACGGUGUCGUUUUGUUUGUUUCCUUAGCUGAUGGGCGAUGAGAAAUCUACGAUCGUGAUGGCGAGUAGGGACCGUGAAAGAGAUCGAGAGCUUCUCAUCCCCGUCGCCGACUCUGCACACGAUGAUGUCGCCCCCAAACCUUCUUCGUCUUCCUCGUCGUCACAUCAUUCGGGACGUGAGACAUUUUACAAAGUUGUUAGGAGCUGGGCUUCAAAAAAGUUCAUGACCGGAUGUGUAAUCCUAUUCCCCAUUGCUAUCACUUUCUACAUAACAUGGUGGUUUAUUCAUUU